GCUUAACACAUGCAAGUCGAGGGGCAGCAUCAUCUUAGCUUGCUUUGAUGGAUGGCGACCGGCGCACGGGUGAGUAACACGUAUCCAACCUGCCGACAACACUGGGAUAGCCUUUCGAAAGAAAGAUUAAUACCGGAUGGCAUAAUUUUCCCGCAUGGGAUAAUUAUUAAAGAAUUUCGGUUGUCGAUGGGGAUGCGUUCCAUUAGGCAGUUGGCGGGGUAACGGCCCACCAAACCAACGAUGGAUAGGGGUUCUGAGAGGAAGGUCCCCCACAUUGGAACUGAGACACGGUCCAAACUCCUACGGGAGGCAGCAGUGAGGAAUAUUGGUCAAUGGACGAGAGUCUGGACCAGCCAAGUAGCGUGAAGGAUGACUGCCCUAUGGGUUGUAAACUUCUUUUAUACGGGAAUAAAGUUAGCCACGUGUGGCUUUUUGUAUGUACCGUAUGAAUAAGGAUCGGCUAACUCCGUGCCAGCAGCCGCGGUAAUACGGAGGAUCCGAGCGUUAUCCGGAUUUAUUGGGUUUAAAGGGAGCGUAGGCGGGUUGUUAAGUCAGUUGUGAAAGUUUGCGGCUCAACCGUAAAAUUGCAGUUGAUACUGGCGACCUUGAGUGCAACAGAGGUAGGCGGAAUUCGUGGUGUAGCGGUGAAAUGCUUAGAUAUCACGAAGAACUCCGAUUGCGAAGGCAGCUUACUGGAUUGUAACUGACGCUGAUGCUCGAAAGUGUGGGUAUCAAACAGGAUUAGAUACCCUGGUAGUCCACACAGUAAACGAUGAAUACUCGCUGUUGGCGAUAUACGGUCAGCGGCCAAGCGAAAGCAUUAAGUAUUCCACCUGGGGAGUACGCCGGCAACGGUGAAACUCAAAGGAAUUGACGGGGGCCCGCACAAGCGGAGGAACAUGUGGUUUAAUUCGAUGAUACGCGAGGAACCUUACCCGGGCUUAAAUUGCAACUGACGGAACCGGAAACGGUUCUUUCUUCGGACAGUUGUGAAGGUGCUGCAUGGUUGUCGUCAGCUCGUGCCGUGAGGUGUCGGCUUAAGUGCCAUAACGAGCGCAACCCUUACGGGUAGUUACCAUCAGGUUAUGCUGGGGACUCUACCCGGACUGCCGUCGUAAGAUGUGAGGAAGGUGGGGAUGACGUCAAAUCAGCACGGCCCUUACGUCCGGGGCUACACACGUGUUACAAUGGGGGGUACAGAAGGUAGCUACACGGCGACGUGGUGCUAAUCCCAAAAGCCUCUCUCAGUUCGGAUUGGAGUCUGCAACCCGACUCCAUGAAGCUGGAUUCGCUAGUAAUCGCGCAUCAGCCACGGCGCGGUGAAUACGUUCCCGGGCCUUGUACACACCGCCCGUCAAGCCAUGAAAGCCGGGGGUACCUGAAGUACGUAACCGCGAGGAGCGUCCUAGGGUAAAACUGGUGAUUGGGGCUAAG
rnacentral:rRNA from 1 species